GAGCUCAGGUUUCCCUUCAUAUUACACGUGCUAAUCUUUCGCCUUUUACUAAAGAUUACCGUGGAGGGGAACAUUACAAUGAGCCUAUAGGCAAUUUUUGUAAUCCCGCUUUCUGCGGGAU
rnacentral:snRNA from 1 species